AUCCAUACACUUGUCUACUCAUUAUUAUCAUUCGAGACAGACAAAACGCCCACCUGGGGAGGAAAUUCCCCAUGAAAAAGACAGAGUCAUGUGAAGGAGCUCAUUUACAAGCAACAUGACAAGAAUUCAAGCAGUCAUGGCUGUGAAGCAUUUCUGCAGAAGGAUAUGCUAUGUAAGUAUGAGGUUGUUACUAAAUCAAAAUGAAUGCCUUUGUGCAAAACUAGAAAGCACAUUACAUAUUGUUCCUGAGUAUUCCUUCCCAGUGCAUUCAAAAUAUUCUCACAUUCACAAGGUUAAACAGCACAUUAAAAAAUAGUAGGAGGCUGAUGGCUGAGCUCAAUUGGGAGUAUCUUUCUUUGGUGUUAGAAUGUUUGAAAAUUAUUUUGGGAAGACUAUGAGCAAGUUAUUUUGAACUUCUGGGGAAAAAAAAAAAUCUGAAGAAGCAUUCCCUUUGCCUAAAAGCAAAGGAGACAUUUAUUUAUGCCUUUAGCAAAUAAAAUAGUUUGCUUACUACCAGUGUUUGUGGGCUGAUAUUCAACUCAUCUUCUGGAAAUUUUAAAAAUACACAUUGAAACUGAAAAAGUAUUCUUUGAGUAAGGGUUUACCUGAAGUGCCCAGAACCAUCCAAAAUGAUGGCACAUUAUAUCUUUUUUUCUUAAAAAUUUUUGGAAUCUAAUUGAAGAUGCCUCUUAGAAUAUGUGGAAACCACACGUGCUAUCUUGCAUAUCACUAUCAUUUCAGUUCUAAUGUUAUUAGGUGUUUAGCUACAGGCAAGUAGAAUUAGGGCAUGAUGUGACAGACUGUAAUGAGUUGCUGAGAAACUACAUACUCUAUCCCCAGGAAAACACAUAUUCUCAAAAUUCUACACAAUUUCAGGAAUUUCAUAGAUGCCCCUACCCCAAAUCCCAUUCAUGAAAUCCUUAGCUUAAAAUCCUGUGCACUAGAGCAAUGUAUUUUAUAAAACCAUAUUCAGAUGCCUGUGAAGCAAUGAAUGUGCUAGGCAAUGUUAGGCGGUAGAAACAGUGAUACACGUAGUCAGACAGGGUACCUAGAAGUCAUGGAGCUUAUAGGCUAGUAGGGGAUAUGGACAUUUACCAAAUAAUCACACAAAAAGAUGCCUAAUUACAAACUCUGAUUAAGUGCUAUGGAGAGAUAUACAGUGUUGCACGUAACAACAGAAUCUAAAGAAGUUACAUUUUAGGGGGCAUAUAAACAAUGUUGUGCAGGGGAGGUAGAAGAAACACAUUAUGGUAAAGGGCUGCAAAGGAAAUAAGCCCAUAAUAAGGCCUCUUAUAGGUUUAAGCUAGGACCUGAAACUUGUAUACUUUAUAUGCUUUGAAAUGAGACAUACAUUAAAGUGGCUGAUCAAAUUAAAACAUUUUCCAGUCUUUGCCUACUAAAUUGAUAAAGAUUUUUUAAAAUUUUAAUAGAACUAAAGAGAAAAUAUUUCUAUAUACUGAUGUUAGGAGUAUGCAGUUUAGGCCAGGCAUGGAGGCUCACACCUAUAAUCCCACCCAGCACUUUGGGAGGCCAAGGUGUGUGGACACUUGAGGUCAGGAGUUCGAGACCAGCCUGACCAACAUGGUGAAACCCUGUCUCUACUAAAAAUGCAAAAUUACCUGAGUAUGGUGGUGCACACUUGUAAUCCCAACUACUUAAGGAGGCUGAGGCAGGAGAAUCACUUGAACCCGGGAGGUGGAGGCUGCAGUGAGCCAAGAUCGCGCCAUUGCAUUCCAGCUUGGGCAGAGCAAACCUCCAUCUCCAAAACCCAAAAAGUAUACAGUUUAAACCACUGACUUUAAAAAUGUACAUAAACAUGGAUGCCGGACAUGGUGAUUCAACGAUUGCACUUACAGAAACAAAUCUAAGAAAACAGUAAUGAUCUUGCCAGCUUCUGAUGAGAUUAUAAGAAAAAAAAAAGAAGAAAUAAAUUUAAAAAAAAAAUAAAAAAAGAAAAUGGUAAUAAUCCACCAGGAUGUUAAUAACAGCAUUAUUCACAAGAUGGAACAGAAACAAUGAUUUUGUCUAACAGCAGGGAGUUAAUUAAAUUAUGACAAGCCAGAUUAUAGAAUAAUAUGCACCCAUUAAAUCAGAGUACUUAAUGAUACGGAAAAAAUUCCUAUUAAGUGAAAAAAGCAUUACAAAACAGCAUAUAUUAUGAGCUCUAUUUUUAUUUUUGAAAUAUAUUUAUGCAGAGAAAUACAAAAUGUUAACAAUAUUAUCUUAAA
rnacentral:lncRNA from 1 species